rnacentral:rRNA from 1 species
UACGGAGGGUGCAAGCGUUAUCCGGAUUCACUGGGUUUAAAGGGUGCGUAGGUGGGUCUGUAAGUCAGUGGUGAAAUCUCCGGGCUUAACCCGGAAACUGCCAUUGAUACUAUAGGUCUUGAAUUUUCUGGAGGUCAGCGGAAUAUGUCAUGUAGCGGUGAAAUGCGCAGAUAUCAGGAAGAACACCUAUGGCGAAGGCAGCUCUCUGGGACGGUACUGACGCUGAGACGCGAAAGCGUGGGGAGCGAACAGG